GACGUAGGGUCCAAGCGUUGUCCGGAUUUACUGGGCGUAAAGAGCGCGUAGGCGGUCUGUUAAGUGUAGAGUGAAAUCUCCAGGGCUCAACCCGGAAACUGCUCUGCAUACUGGCAGACUUGAGGAAUGCAGAGGUUUGUGGAAUUCCUGGUGUAGCGGUGAAAUGCGUUGAUAUCAGGAGGAACACCCAUGGCGAAGGCAGCAAACUGGGCAUUAUCUGACGCUGAGGCGGCGAAAAGCGUGGGGAGCGAACAG
rnacentral:rRNA from 1 species